rnacentral:rRNA from 1 species
GAGUAAUGCUUAGGAAUCUGCCCAGUAGUGGGGGAUAGCCCGGGGAAACCCGGAUUAAUACCGCAUACGUCCUACGGGAGAAAGCAGGGGAUCUUCGGACCUUGCGCUACUGGAUGAGCCUAAGUCGGAUUAGCUAGUUGGUGGGGUAAAGGCCUACCAAGGCGACGAUCCGUAGCUGGUCUGAGAGGAUGAUCAGCCACAUCGGGACUGAGACACGGCCCGAACUCCUACGGGAGGCAGCAGUGGGGAAUAUUGGACAAUGGGGGCAACCCUGAUCCAGCCAUGCCGCGUGUGUGAAGAAGGCUUUCGGGUUGUAAAGCACUUUCAGCGAGGAGGAAGGCUCUGAAGUUAAUACCUUCAGGGAUUGACGUUACUCGCAGAAGAAGCACCGGCUAACUCCGUGCCAGCAGCCGCGGUAAUACGGAGGGUGCAAGCGUUAAUCGGAAUUACUGGGCGUAAAGCGCGCGUAGGUGGUUAGGUAAGCGAGAUGUGAAAGCCCCGGGCUUAACCUGGGAACGGCAUUUCGAACUGUCUGACUAGAGUGUGGUAGAGGGUAGUGG